CCUCGGCGGGAUCUCUGCCCCGGGUGCGUCGCAGCCCCGGACCAAGGCGCCCGCCGGAGGACCAACCAAAACUCUUAUUGUAUACCCCCUCGCGGGUUUUUUUAUAAUCUGAGCCUUCUCGGCGCCUCUCGUAGGCGUUUCGAAAAUGAAUCAAAACUUUCAAACGGAUCUCUUGGUUCUGGCAUCGAUGAAGAACGCAGCGAAAUGCGAUAAGUAAUGUGAAUUGCAGAAUUCAGUGAAUCAUCGAAUCUUUGAACGCACAUUGCGCCCGCCAGUAUUCUGGCGGGCAUGCCUGUCCGAGCGUCAUUUCAACCCUCGAACCCCUCCGGGGGGUCGGCGUUGGGGAUCGGCCCUGCCUUGGCGGUGGCCGUCUCCGAAAUACAGUGGCGGUCUCGCCGCAGCCUCUCCUGCGCAGUAGUUUGCACACUCGCAUCGGGAGCGCGGCGCGUCCACAGCCGUUAAACACCCAACUUCUGAAAUGUUGACCUCGGAUCAGGUAGGAAUACCCGCUGAACUUAAGCAUAUCAAUAACCCGGAGAGAA
rnacentral:rRNA from 1 species